UGUGAAAACUCGGGGCUCAACCCCGAGACGCCAUCCGAUACUGCUGUGGCUUGAGUCUGGUAGGGGAGCGUGGAACUCCUGGUGUAGCGGUGAAAUGCGCAGAUAUCAGGAAGAACACCAGCGGCGAAGGCGGCGCUCUGGGCCGGAACUGACGCUGAGGAGCGAAAGCGUGGGUAGCAAACAG
rnacentral:rRNA from 1 species